rnacentral:rRNA from 1 species
ACACGUAGGGGGCGAGCGUUGUCCGGAAUUACUGGGCGUAAAGGGCGUGUAGGCGGCCGAUCAAGUCAGGUGUGAAAAAUCAGGGCUUAACCCUGAUCGUGCACUUGAAACUGGUUGGCUUGAGUGCAGGAGAGGAAAGUGGAAUUCCCAGUGUAGCGGUGAAAUGCGUAGAUAUUGGGAGGAACACCAGUGGCGAAGGCGACUUUCUGGACUGCAACUGACGCUGAGGCGCGAAAGCUAGGGGAGCAAACAGGAUUAGAUACCCUGGUAGUCCUAGCCGUAAACGAUGGGUACUAGGUGUAGGGGGUUUAGACGCCCUCUGUGCCGCAGUUAACACAUUAAGUACCCCGCCUGGGGAGUACGGCCGCAAGGCUGAA